AGGCUCCCCGCAAGGGCGUCUGUAGAGGUGCUGCAUGGCUGUCGUCACCUCGUGUCGUGAGAUGUUGGGUUAAGUCCCGCAACGAGCGCAACCCUUGUCUUCUGUUGCCAUCAGGUUAUGCUGGGCACUCUGAAGAGACUGCCGGUGACAAACCGGAGGAAGGUGGGGAUGACGUCAAGUCAGCAUGGCCUUUAUGUCUGGGGCCACACACGUGCUACAAUGGCCGAUACAAACCGUCGCGAGCCCGCAAGGGGGAGCUAAUCGGAGAAAGUCGGUCUCAGUUCGGAUUGUAGGCUGCAACUCGCCUGCAUGAAGUUGGAAUCGCUAGUAAUCGCGGAUCAGCACGCCGCGGUGAAUACGUUCCCGGGCCUUGUACCCUCCGCCCGUCACAUCACGAAAGCCGGUUGUACUAG
rnacentral:rRNA from 1 species